rnacentral:rRNA from 1 species
GAUGAACGCUAGCUACAGGCUUAACACAUGCAAGUCGAGAGACCGGCGCACGGGUGAGUCACACGUAUCCAACCUGUCCUUUACUCGGGGAUAGCCUUUCGACAGAAAGAUUAAUACCCGAAGUAAAGGAUGGGGAUGCGUUCUCUUAGGUUGUUGGUGAGGUAACCGCUCACCAAGCCUUCGAUGGUUAGGGGUCCUGAGAGGAAGGUCACAUACAUUGGAACUGAGACACGGUACAAACGCGUACGGGAGGCAGCAGUGAGGAAUACUUGUCAAUGGGCGUUAGCCUGAUCCAGCCAAGUAGCGGGAAGGAUGAAGGCUUAUGGGUCGUAAGCUUCUUUUAUAUAAGAAUAUGUAUUAUAUGAAUAAGGGUCGGCUAACUCCGUGCCAGCCGCCGCGGUAAUUC